GUGCUGGUAAAAUGUGCCAUUGGGCAGGCAAUUUCCUCAUUUGUCUCUAUUAAAGCCGGGUUUUGGGGGGGCGGGGGGGCGAGAGAGAGAGAGAGAGAACACCCAAGAAAUCCAAUUAAACCCGCUCCGGCCAAAGCGCUAUUUGAGGCAUGAAUCUCCCCCUCAAGCUGCAGCAAUCAUGUGGCAUUAGACACUUCCGGAAUCCUAUCGCCAACUUGAAAAAUCCCAGACCCCCUUUUUCCCCUAAUUUUUGCUCUGAUCUGUAAUUUUAUCCACAUUUGCACGAGUUUGAGCAUUCUGGCUCUCCCAUCUGAAAGCCUGCAAUUACUCUAUAAUUCUUCGCAAUUUCACAUGUCCUAAUAUGGACUGUAAUUUUUUUGCGCAAGACAAUUUCCUGCUAUUUCAAGCAUCAACAUUGUCAAAGUUGUAUGUACAUAAUAAAUGGGAAUAUCAAUGCAUAGUUUUUAGCAUAACAUCUUGACUCCUCGAUAAUUAUAUCCGUUCGGGAAGCCUACGCAGAAUUAGCCUGAAUUGCUCGCUAUAAAGACAGAGGCUAUAUAGCAGAAAUUCCCAGUGAUAUUCGGCAGGCGCCGCUUCGGCUCCCGAGGAGGACCUCCGGCUCCAGCUUUGGGGGGAUUUGGGGGGCUAUUCUCUAGAUUUGGGGGGCUGAGGCUGCCCCUGACCGUGCCCCCCUCCCCCCAGCUCUUGGGCAACUGGGGCCAGCAGCCGGCUGGAUUCAAACCCUGAGUUACAGGACCCGAAAGGUUUGGCCUGAGCUGAACUUCUCUCCGGCCCAAUCUUCUUUCCCGCCCCGCUUUCCCCCCAUUUCCACCUCGAUUCGGGUAAUCCGAGGGAAAAUGAAACCAAACAGGCACGCCAGGCCCGAAUGUUCCUCAGCCAAGGCUGGGAACCCCUUUCCCCUCCCGCCCCUUUAAUGGGUCGCAAACGCUGCAUCAGAGCCUCCCUUCAGUUCCCAGAUCCUCUUCCGAGGGGUUGGCGGCUCCUUCUCCGGUCCAAACCGACACUUUCCGCGGGAACGAUGUGCUUACUUUGCUGAAAAUGGCCAUCUUCCAGGAUCAAACAUGAGGUUUAAUAAAAUGGAAGAAGGGCGUUCCAAUCAAGCUGUAAUUAAUAUCCCUGUGGAUCAUAAAUAACUACCCAAACAUCAGCCACUUCCCUCCAGAGAACAGAUGGGAUGGAAAUAUUUGAAUGUUGUGUGUAUUUUUAACAUACAUAAAAAUCAAGCUUUAAAAUGUUCAUUAAGUCAGCAAAACAACAAUGUUCUUAUUUCUCUCUAAUUGUCCAGCCAUUUAGGCACCAGUGAGUGAGGAAUACACUUUUACCCACCCGUUCAAGCGUUUGAUUGGUGCUUGAUCUGACCAGUCUUCCAGAAGGAGAUAGUUGACUGGCUACUCCUCGUAGAGUGAGACUCUUAGCCUCUUCUAGGCCAACAGAGGCCUUCAUUUUUUGAGAUGUUGUGUUGGACGCAGAGGUGUCAAACUUGUGGUUUUCCAGGUGUUUGGGCUUCCAAAUCCCAGAAGCCCUAUCCAGCUUAUUCAAUGGCCAGGAAUUCCAAAACAUUUGGAGGGCCAUCAGUUUGACACCACUGUGUUGGAGGUAAGGCUUGGGGAUGAAUCCGGGAAUGAAAAAACGGCAUCUUGCUUGGAAACUGAGCUCUCUUCAAAUCCCUCAUCAAACUUCAACAACUGAGGGUGCAUCUAUACUGUAGGACUAAUGCAGUUUGACACUGUUUUAACUAUACUAUUUAGUCAUAAGAAUGGUAGUUUUAUGAGUCUUUAGCUUUUAGCAGUGGUGUCUCACCAAACUACAAAUUCAAGGAUUCUUUGAAUUGCGUCUUGGCAGUUCAAGUGGUGUCAAACUGCAUUAAUUCUAUAGUGCCAAUCAAUGCAUUCUGAAAUAUUGUCACUUCCUUAUUCCGUAUUCCACUUUCAAGUGGUUGACUCCAUAGGACUGUCGUGAGAAAGGACUCUGCUUCCUCACAAGAAUGCCACUGUGCUCUUUGUAAUGUCCUGGCGAUUCAGCCCUUCAUGUCUGAACAACAAAAAUGCUAAACAUCAGAGGUCCUUAAUAGGACACAACAUUUCUGACUUUGUUAAAAAACACUCACUAAGUUUAGCUGGAUUAGUGUUUAACAAUGGGACCAGGAAACGGUCAGAGCUUCAGAUGAAAUAAUUCCUUCCAAGAAAUAAAGGCAUACAGUCCUAUCAGUCUGUUAAAAUUAUCAAAAUAUUCAAACAAGAAUGUUGUAUAAACUCUUCACUUCAACAAAGAUCCUAAAGAAAGCAUUCCCAGAUUCCUUCCACUUCAGGAUCACACAUGAACUAACCUAUUGUAAACGCCAUGCCCUCUUGCAUUAACAAAUCGCUUUUGUUUUCUGCAAAACAAAGCAAAAUAUUUUAUUAAUCACAAAAGAAUACAAUCAUUCAAUGUCAUAUGCAAACUGUUGUUCUUUUGCAUUUUUGUGGGGUUAAGAACUGUUGGAAAUUACAACCUUCUUCAAGCCUCCUCUAGUAAUUUGUUAAUCUAUGAUUCUGUUUGCUUACUGUUUUAUAUAUAUGUUCUGGUAUGCAGCUUCUUUAGCUCUAUGUUUCCUGAGAGGUUGUGGGGAGGCUGACCUGAUCUGAGACUGCUCACAGAUCUGAUCACAUGACCUGAUCUGAGACUGCUCACAGAUCUGAUCACAUGACCUGAUCUGAGACUGCUCACAGAUCUGAUCACAUGACCUGAUCUGAGACUGCUCACACCUCAGACUCUAGUUUAGAGUCUCUUUAGAGACUUUAGACUGAAGAGCCAUCAAAUGCUUGCUGUUGUUGUAAGAAAAAUGCCCUGUGCCAUCUGCACAAACUAUCUCAAACAUAUCUGAAAUUGGACUGAUAUGCUAUGUACCUGUAUUAUGCUGAACACAUGAAGUUGUGAGUAAACCAAAUAUGUUAUUUUACCAAAGCCUACUUCAUUUUUGUCUCUUGAGCACAUGAUACAAAACAAGUUUUUCUGGGAGAGUAAAUAUAUUUUUGGGCACUGAAAAACAUUUCUGAAACUCUGCUGUUUUUGUGCAAACUCUGCUGUUUUUGUGCAAACUGCUGUUUUUCUAACAGAUCAGAGACAAUAGGUUCAGUCUAACAACUAAAGACAUUGCCUUGCAUAUUACAUCUGGUUGUAUACCAUAUGAAAAGAUUCUACUCAAACAGGGUUUUGGCUCUUCUCGGAAAGAUCAAACUUUUCCAAAAGAUUAUGAUCUCCAAAAGUUAUGAAUGUCAUUUUCCAAAAAGAACAACUCCCAUCCAUGCAAGCAGCUGAAGGUUUCCAAAGCCUAAAAGCAGAGGCUCAACGUCCUUACUUCAGGUUUGGGGUAUGGCCUUUUUUAAAUAACAAAAGCGUGUUAAAAGUAUAAGAGAACUAGCUGUGCCCGGCCACGCGUUGCUGUGGCAUUGUCUGGUGGUGUUGGUGAGAAAUUGUUGAGGUAGUGGUGGUAUUGAAUGUCUGUUGUAUGGUUGUCUUUAUGUUUAGUAUGCACACUGAAGUGGAUUAUAUGGCAGUGUGGAGUCAAGAUUAUCCAGUUCAAAGCAGAUAAUAUAAGAUUCUAAAUGGGUUAUAUAGCUGUGUGGAAGGACCUUGAGUCUAUACUGCCAUAUAAUCCAGUUAAAAUCUGAUAAUCUGUGGAAGAGGCCUAAGUGAGGCCUAACUGUGCCUGUCCCCUGGGCUGAGUUGGUUGCUAGGAGACCAAGUGGGCGGAGCUUAGCCUUCUAAUUGGCAGCAAUUGGAUAAAAACUAUUAUUCCUCUCCCUGUAAUUAGGACUUUAUUUUUUCUUUUCUUUUUGUUGUAUCAACCUAGAGCCGUGAAUGAUGGGUUGUUGUCAAAUUUCAAGGUUGGGGUAGUUUUGUUGUUUUGUCCGCUGCCCUGAUGUCAUCACUCUUUUAUAUAUAUAGAUGCACUUUGUUCAAAAUAAGGGUUUUUUUGACCCAAAACAUUCCCUCCUCCUAGCCCAAUGUUUACAGUUAUUUACUUUUCCUUUGUUUAUUGUUGUUUGUGCCCUUUCCUAGUUACUUGCUGGACUGCUUGUAUUAAGAACAUGAAUACUGUAAACAUUCAAUGUACUAUUACCGCCUAUAUAAUAACUAACAAAAUGUUCAGGAAAAAAAUAAAGAUUUUUUU